rnacentral:rRNA from 1 species
ACGCUGGCGGCACGCCUAACACAUGCAAGUCGAACGAAGUAGCAAUACUUAGUGGCAGACGGGUGAGUAACAUGUGGGUAUCUACCCUUUGGCCUGGAAUAACACGAGGAAACUUGUGCUAAUACCGGAUAAGUCUUUACGGAGAAAGCUUUAUGCACCAUUGGAUGAGCCUGCACUUGAUUAGUUUGUUGGUGGGGUAAUGGCCUACCAAGACUGUGAUCAAUAGCUGAUUUGAGAGGAUGAUCAGCCACAUUGGGACUGAGACACGGCCCAAACUCCUACGGGAGGCAGCAGUGGGGAAUCUUGCACAAUGGAGGAAACUCUGAUGCAGCGAUGCCGCGUGAGUGAAGAAGGCCCUUGGGUUGUAAAGCUCUUUCGUCGGGGAAGAAAAUGACUGUACCCGAAUAAGAAGGUCCGGCUAACUUCGUGCCAGCAGCCGCGGUAAUACGAAGGGACCUAGCGUAGUUCGGAAUUACUGGGCUUAAAGAGUUCGUAGGUGGUUGAAAAAGUUGGUGGUGAAAUCCCAGAGCUUAACUCUGGAACUGCCAUCAAAACUUUUCAGCUAGAGUAUGAUAGAGGAAAGCAGAAUUUCUAGUGUAGAGGUGAAAUUCGUAGAUAUUAGAAAGAAUACCAAUUGCGAAGGCAGCUUUCUGGAUCAUUACUGACACUGAGGAACGAAAGCAUGGGUAGCGAAGAGGAUUAGAUACCCUCGUAGUCCAUGCCGUAAACGAUGUGUGUUAGACGUUGGAAAUUUAUUUUCAGUGUCGCAGCGAAAGCGAUAAACACACCGCCUGGGGAGUACGACCGCA